rnacentral:rRNA from 1 species
AUUGAACGCUGGCGGCAUGCCUUACACAUGCAAGUCGAACGGUAACAGGUCUUUCGGGAUGCUGACGCGUGGCGAACGGGUGAGUAAUACAUCGGAACGUGCCUAGUAGUGGGGGAUAACUACUCGAAAGAGUGGCUAAUACCGCAUGAGAUCUAUGGAUGAAAGCAGGGGACCUUUGGGCCUUGUGCUACUAGAGCGGCCGAUGGCAGAUUAGGUAGUUGGUGGGAUAAAAGCUUACCAAGCCUACGAUCUGUAGCUGGUCUGAGAGGACGAUCAGCCACACUGGGACUGAGACACGGCCAAGACUCCUACGGGAGGCAGCAGUGGGGAAUUUUGGACAAUGGGCGCAAGACUGAUCCAGCAAUGCCGCGUGCAGGAUGAAGGCCUUCGGGUUGUAAACUGCUUUUGUACGGAACGAAAAGUCUUGGGUUAAUACCCUGGGAUCAUGACGGUACCGUAAGAAUAAGCACCGGAUAACUACGUG